UACGGAGGGGGCUAGCGUUGUUCGGAAUUACUGGGCGUAAAGCGCGCGUAGGCGGACCUGCAAGUCGGGGGUGAAAGCCCGAGGCUCAACCUCGGAACUGCCUUCGAUACUGCGGGUCUCGAGUCCGGGAGAGGUGAGUGGAAUUCCUAGUGUAGAGGUGAAAUGCGCAGAUAUCGGGAAGAACACCCGUGGCGAAGGCGGUUCUCUGGGACGGUACUGACGCUGAGACGCGAAAGCGUGGGGAGCAAACAGG
rnacentral:rRNA from 1 species